rnacentral:rRNA from 1 species
GAUGAACGCUGGCGGCGUGCCUAAUACAUGCAAGUCGAGCGAACGGACGAGAAGCUUGCUUCUCUGAUGUUAGCGGCGGACGGGUGAGUAACACGUGGAUAACCUACCUAUAAGACUGGGAUAACUUCGGGAAACCGGAGCUAAUACCGGAUAAUAUUUUGAACCGCAUGGUUCAAAAGUGAAAGACGGUCUUGCUGUCACUUAUAGAUGGAUCCGCGCUGCAUUAGCUAGUUGGUAAGGUAACGGCUUACCAAGGCAACGAUGCAUAGCCGACCUGAGAGGGUGAUCGGCCACACUGGAACUGAGACACGGUCCAGACUCCUACGGGAGGCAGAAGUAGGGAAUCUUCGGCAAUGGGCGAAAGCCUGACGGAGCAACGCCGCGUGAGUGAUGAAGGUCUUCGGAUCGUAAAACUCUGUUAUUAGGGAAAAACAUAUGUGUAAGUAACUGUGCACAACUUGACGGUACCUAAUCAGAAAGCCACGGCUAACUACGUG